AUCAGCCUUUCGGGUGCGAUUCUGUGGAGUUUGAGGAGCUUAACACCUUCAUGCUUUGCAUAUUCGUGCUCUUGGGUGUACUUGCCCGUGUGGUUGGUUAACAUCAAUUUUGGUGGUCAUAAAAUGACUGGAGGAAUGUAGCUUCGAUCUUGUAUUGAAGUGUUAUAGCCUUCGGUAGAUGUGAUGAUCGAGAUUGAGGAUUGCAACGGAUACCCUUCGGGGCUACCUGUCUGAUCUCUGAUCGUUGCUCUGGUGCCGAAAGCUUGCUUACGGUUAUCAAAGUCGAUGGUCAAUAGGUUAGAACGGGUUAAAUUCGUUAAGGAUGUUGACGUAAUGGCUUU
rnacentral:rRNA from 1 species